UACGUAGGGGGCAAGCGUUGUCCGGAAUCAUUGGGCGUAAAGCGCGUGUAGGCGGUUUGGUAAGUCCGCUGUGAAAGUCCAGGGCUCAACCCUGGAAUGCCGGUGGAUACUGCCAGACUAGAGUCCGGAAGAGGCGAGUGGAAUUCCUGGUGUAGCGGUGAAAUGCGCAGAUAUCAGGAGGAACACCUAUGGCGAAGGCAGCUCGCUGGGACGGUACUGACGCUGAGACGCGAAAGCGUGGGGAGCAAACAGG
rnacentral:rRNA from 1 species